GAUGAAGAACGCAGCGAAAUGCGAUAAGUAUUGUGAAUUGCAGAAUCCAGUGAAUCAUCGAAUCUUUGAACGCACAUUGCGCCCGCCGGUAUUCCGGCGGGCAUGCCUGUUCGAGCGUCAUUUCGACCCUCACCCUCCCCUAAAAGGCGGGUAGCGUUGGGGCGUCCGCGUCACUGCGGAGGCCCUUAAGUCUAUAGGCGGUCCCGUCGGGUCCCCGAGCGCAGUAGAGCCACUAUCGUUCGGCGGUCGCGGCGGUGUUCUUGCCCCUAAGCACCCCAUUUUUUUUUUUUAAAAGGUUGACCUCGGAUCAGGUAGGAAUACCCGCUGAACUUAAGCAUAUCAAUAAGCGGAGGA
rnacentral:misc_RNA from 1 species